rnacentral:rRNA from 1 species
GACGAACGCUGGCGGCGCGCUUAACACAUGCAAGUCGAACGGAAAGGCCUGCUUUCCCUUGUGGAUUGCGGGUACUCGAGUGGCGAACGGGUGAGUAACACGUGAGUGAUCUGCCCCCAACUUGGGUAUAAGCCUGGGAAACUGGGUCUAAUUCCCGAUAGGACUGCAGGGUGGUGCCUGUGGUGGAAAACGAUUUUCUAGUGGUUGGGGAUGAGCUCGCGGCCUAUCAGCUUGUUGGCGGGGUAAUGGCCUACCAAGGCGGCGACGGGUAGCCGGCCUGAGAGGGGGGACGGCCACAUUGGGACUGAGAUACGGCCCAGACUCCUACGGGAGGCAGCAGUGGGGAAUAUUGCACAAUGGGCGGAAGCCUGAUGCAGCGACGCCGCGUGGGGGAUGACGGCCUUCGGGUUGUAAACUCCUUGCGACCGCGAGGAAGCCACCUGGUUGGAAGGGUGGUGACGGUAGUGGUAGAAGAAGCACCGGCUAACUACGUG